UACGUAGGGUGCGAGCGUUAAUCGGAAUUACUGGGCGUAAAGCGUGCGCAGGCGGUUUUGUAAGCCGGAUGUGAAAUCCCCGGGCUUAACCUGGGAAUGGCAUUCGGGACUGCAAGGCUGGAGUGCGGCAGAGGAGACUGGAAUUCCUGGUGUAGCAGUGAAAUGCGUAGAUAUCAGGAGGAACACCGAUGGCGAAGGCAGGUCUCUGGGCUGACACUGACGCUCAUGCACGAAAGCGUGGGAGCAACAGG
rnacentral:rRNA from 1 species